rnacentral:rRNA from 1 species
GACGAACGCUGGCGGCGUGCUUAACACAUGCAAGUCGAACGAAGAGCGACGGAAGCUUGCUUCUAUCAAUCUUAGUGGCGAACGGGUGAGUAACGCGUAAUCAACCUGCCCUUCAGAGGGGGACAACAGUUGGAAACGACUGCUAAUACCGCAUACGAUCUAACCUCGGCAUCGAGGAUAGAUGAAAGGUGGCCUCUACAUGUAAGCUAUCACUGAAGGAGGGGAUUGCGUCUGAUUAGCUAGUUGGAGGGGUAACGGCCCACCAAGGCGAUGAUCAGUAGCCGGUCUGAGAGGAUGAACGGCCACAUUGGGACUGAGACACGGCCCAGACUCCUACGGGAGGCAGCAGUGGGGAAUCUUCCGAAAUGGACGAAAGUCUGACGGAGCAACGCCGAGUGAGUGAUGACGGCCUUCGGGUUGUAAAGCUCUGUUAAUCGGGACGAAAGGCCUUCUUGCGAAUAGUGAGAAGGAUUGACGGUACCGGAAUAGAAAGCCACGGCUAACUACGUG